rnacentral:ncRNA from 1 species
GGAUUGUAUGAAAAGAGAGAAGGUUAGCACUUCUCUAGAUAAGGUUGGGAAGAGGUCCCAAUGGCCUUUAUAACACAUAUACAGUUAAGGCAUUGCUAUCUACUCUGUGGCCUCUAACAAUUUGGGGUU